rnacentral:lncRNA from 1 species
AAAUACUACACAUAUUUUGCCAAGAACACCAUUCCUUUAACUUUGGUUUUGUUUUUUAAAUUCAAUAGCUUCCUUGCUUUUUAAUGUCCAUCUAUUCCACACACAUACACAGUUUAUCAAUUUCAAAGGCAACAAGACUCAUUUUUUUACUAUAAAUAUUUUGUAAAAAUCAAAUUGUUGGCACAUAUUUUAAAAGCAGAAAGCCAUUCUCCAUCUUUAAUUACGUUCAAGGAAGCUGUAGAAGUCUGGAAAUUGAAAUAUUCUCUUGGAUUAUUCUUUCAAAAGUUCGUUGAUCUAACGAGGUAGGAUACUAUGUACAAGUUGUUCCAUCCUUUUAAUAUUAUAAUUUUUGAUGUGAUUUAUUUCAUGAAAUGCUAAUUGACCUACUGGUCCCUAUGAAGUGAAAUAAAAUGUGAGAUCUCCUUCGGGUCUUCUCAAAUAUGUUAGAGUAUUUGAUUGAUCACCGAUUGCCCUUGAUGAAAUGCUGGUAUGGAAUGUUGUAAAUUCAUGUUUUAAAAGUUAUUAUAUUGUUUGGAUGCACGAAUCCUACUGAGUAUAAUUUAGUCAUUCCUUCAAUUUUAACAUUUUAGGUUAGAUCGAUCGACGUGGAUGGUGGUUGAGCGGUGUGCGGGUUGCCAAGUAAAGAAAUUUUCAAGAAAAAAAUUUAAAAAUAAUUCUUCUAGGACAUUUUGUGUUUCCAUUGAUUUCCAUUUAACGUUUCAUAUUACCUGACAAUACAUUUAUUUGAUUUAGCCUUUGAGUAUUAAAUAAAUUAGGAGUUUUAAAGUUCCAAUUUAUAUUUUCACUUGAUGUAUGUUUAUGAAAUGAUAUUGGUAACACCUCAAUUUUUAAAUCGAUAAAAUUUGGGGCGUUACAACAUCCUUGCUAAUGAAAAAUUUAUUUGUAUGUAAAUCCCAAACUCUAUAAGCCUUUUGUCCUAAAGGGUACCCAAGGAAAAUGCACUUCUUGGCUCGAUGGUCAAAUUUAUGUUCAAUGUGGACUUGAGUGGCAUAACAGAGGUAAAUGUACUUGAAAACGUAAGGCAUGAGCUACAUUCAGCGACACUAUUUUGUUGGGG